AGUGAACGCUGGCGGUAGGCCUAACACAUGCAAGUCGAACGGCGGCACAGUAAGAGCUUGCUCUUACGUGUGGCGAGUGAUGGACGGGUGGGGAAUACAUCAGAAUCUCCUUUUUCGUGGGGGUUAACGUAGGGAAACUUAGGCUAAUACCGCAUACGACAUCCGGGUGAAAGCAGGGGAUCCUCGGCCCUUGCGCGAUUGAAUGAGUCGAAUUCGGAUUAGCUAGUUGGCGGGGUAUAGGCCCACCAAGGCGACGAUCCGUAGCUGGUCUGAGGGGAUGAUCAGCCACACUGGAACUGAGACACGGUCCAGACUCCUAGGGGAGGCAGCAGUGGAGAAUAUUGGACAAUGGGCGCAAGCCUGAUCCAGCCAUACGGCGUGGGUGAAGAAGGCCUUCGGGUUGUAAAGCCCUUUUGUUGGGAAAGAAAAGCAGCAGGUUAAUACCCCGCUGUUCUGACGGUACCUAAAGAAUAAGCACCGGCUAACUUCGUG
rnacentral:rRNA from 1 species